rnacentral:rRNA from 1 species
UACGUAGGGUGCAAGCGUUGUCCGGAAUUAUUGGGCGUAAAGAGCUCGUAGGCGGUCUGUCGCGUCUGCUGUGAAAACUCAGGGCUUAACCCUGAGCUUGCAGUGGGUACGGGCAGACUAGAGUGCGGUAGGGGGAGACUGGAAUUCCUGGUGUAGCGGUGAAAUGCGCAGAUAUCAAGGAGGGAACACCCGGUUGGGCGAA